rnacentral:snRNA from 1 species
GAGAUAAUUUUUGGCAGCACAUAAACUGAAACUGGAACGAUACAGAGAAGGUUAGCUUGGCCCCUACGCAAGGAUGACAAAUAAAUUCGUGAAGACUUCCGUAUUUUU